rnacentral:rRNA from 1 species
AACGAACGCUGGCGGCAGGCCUAACACAUGCAAGUCGAGCGGACCCUUCGGGGUUAGCGGCGGACGGGUGAGUAACGCGUGGGAAUAUGCCCUUCUUUACGGAAUAGUCCUGGGAAACUGGGGGUAAUACCGUAUACGCCCUUUGGGGGAAAGAUUUAUCGGGGAAGGAUUAGCCCGCGUUGGAUUAGGUAGUUGGUGGGGUAAUGGCCUACCAAGCCGACGAUCCAUAGCUGGUUUGAGAGGAUGAUCAGCCACACUGGGACUGAGACACGGCCCAGACUCCUACGGGAAGCAGCAGUGGGGAAUCUUAGACAAUGGGGGCAACCCUGAUCUAGCCAUGCCGCGUGAGUGAUGAAGGCCUUAGGGUUGUAAAGCUCUUUCAGCUGGGAAGAUAAUGACGGUACCAGCAGAAGAAGCCCCGGCUAACUCCGUG